rnacentral:lncRNA from 1 species
AAAUAUAAUUUGGCUAUUUAAUCAGUUAUAAUGUCGUAUGGCAUACCCAUAAGUUACUGUGACUGACAAGUGGUUAAGAACCUGGUGCAUUUUAUUUAACAAACACUUUAUAUAGUAUUUAAUAUAUACCAGCUACUGUUCUAGGUGCUUUGCAUAUAUCAACUCAUGUAAUUCUCAUAAACCUGUAGUAAGUACUAUAAUUAUUCUCAGAUAAGGAAACUGAGGCACAGAGAAGUUAAGUAACUCAUUCAAGGUCAAAUAGUAAGUCCUAAAGCCAGGAUUGUACCUGGGCUAUCUAAUUCUAGAACCUGUAUUCGUACUCAUUAUGCUCUGUUCCCAAAUUUUUCUGUUACAUAGAUUGUUAUGGCUUUUUUUUUUUUUUUUUUUGACAG